rnacentral:snRNA from 1 species
GGAUGUGGGGCCGAUCUGGCUGCGAACAUCUGUCACCCCAUUGAUCGCCAGGGUUGUUCGGCUGAUCUGGCUGGCUAGGCAGGUGUCCCCUUUCCUCCCUCACCGCUCCAUGUGCGUCCCUCCCGAAGCUGAGCGCUCAGGUCGAAGAAGGACGACAUCCCCGAUAGAAGGAGGGACCAAUUCUUCGGUCAAGGGUAUACGAGUAGCUGCACUCCCCUCUAGAACCUCGCAAAACAAACUCUCAAAUGGUACUUCCUGCCUAAAUUACAUAGUAAGCCACACAAUACGACUGCCAGGUGUGCAUGCUGAGAUU